rnacentral:rRNA from 1 species
GACGUAGGGCGCGAGCGUUGUCCGGAUUUAUUGGGCGUAAAGAGCUCGUAGGCGGCCUUCUAAGUCGAACGUGAAAUCCCCGGGCUCAACCCGGGAACUGCGUCCGAUACUGGAAGGCUUGAAUCCGGGAGAGGGAUGUGGAAUUCCAGGUGUAGCGGUGAAAUGCGUAGAUAUCUGGAGGAACACCGGUGGCGAAGGCGACAUCCUGGACCGGUAUUGACGCUGAGGCGCGAAAGCCAGGGGAGCAAACGGG